UGCCAACUCAUUAAAAUCGUGUUACAGCCAAAUGUUGACACCUAACCCCUCCCUUCCAGCUCAACAUCCAUCACUUAGAGUGAUACUUCGCCACAGUGAUUUCUAUCCAUCCUUCAUCGUGUUCCACUAGGAAAAACACCAAGAACUUUCUCGGAGGAACCCAGAACACUCUUCUCAAUCUUUAACCCGAAGAUGUUUGAUCCAUUUCUUGUCUUCUCUGGUCGAACACCCUGCGUCGAGCUCAUCGUCGCUCCCGACGUCGCGAUGCCGUUCCCGUCCAUCCGGUGGGUCUCUGGCCGAACCACUGCGCCAUCAUCAUCACAAAGGUUCCAGAAAGCUGCUUACUGAAGCAAUCGACCCAAGACACCGCCGUUGAAGAGAUCGCCGUCGUCUUCCUCAAGUCCGGCUACCGGCUAUCGUCGUCGAAUCCUUGCAUCCGAGCCGAAGCAUGGGGAGUGGUCGUCGCCGUCGCUCUGCCAUUCUUUGCCGCCGCCGGAGUACUUCUAAGGUCGCCAUCGCCGUCCAUCCAUCACCGACCUACAGGCGACCUUCCACUAGUGGUCACCGCCGCUCGCGCUGUUUCCGGCAUCCAUCCCGGCCAUCUCCGGCGACAAGACGAACAUCGUCGGAUGCGCAAGAGCCUGGUGCACUUUUCUCCUUUUGGGUGCGACGUCAGAAUCCCCGCCGUUCGCCGCCGACGUCGACGUCAAGCCCGCCGGCCGGUGAAGCUCUGCUGCUGCUGCUGUUUCCUCCUCUGCCGAGCCUAUGACAGGUGGUCCCCACUUCAUUAAGCAUUAAGAACUGUGAUUAGAAAUAGAUCAAAGCAUAUGGGGUUCUAUUUGUAAAUAACUAGAGCAUGACAUGUGGGACCUAGACCUAAUUAUAAAUACAUAAAACUUUGAGUAGUCUUAAUGAAGAUUCAAUUAAAACGAGCUAGGUACCUCGGGACCUAUUCCUAGAACCUCGAGGGACCUUUCUGCAAAAAAUAUCUCACUGACCAGUGGGCCCUAUGUGUUUAAAAUCUGGAAAAUAUAAGGAAAAUGCCUUAGUGAAUACCUAAUCAACAGAAAAAUAGGUUAACUUGUAAAUUCCAUAUAAAAUUCAUUUUAGCUCCAAUCUGGAUGAAAUAAAUUUCUGUAGAAUCACCAAGUUAUGAAUCUUAAUAUGGAAACAUAAUACUUGGCACUUGCAGUAGAAGAAAUAGCUCUAAUAAUUCACAUAAUAAAUAAUGAACAUAGAGCAAUCUUCAACUUAGAAAAUUCAUAUAAAAUUCAUCUUAACUUAAUUUGGAGUGAACCAAAUUCCAGUGUGCUCAAAAAAUCAUACACUUGAUUUACAUGAACUAAAACUUGAUACUUUCUGUAUUAAAAUCAUCACCAACUAUUUAAUUGGUAAAAUAA